CGCGCUACGAUAGCUUCGAGGACGCUUGCAAUGGUGGAAAAUGGAAUCUGUUAACCUGUGAUGUUAAUACAAUUGUUUGUAAUCGUAAAAAGCUUUUCAUGGAAUUAAAAUGGCUGGUAAAAUGUGGAAUUCAGAAAUAUGGAAAGCAUGGGAUAAGCACGGAAAAAAUGAUUUCCUCAAGUUAUUCAAGCACAAAUUUAAGGAAGGCAACACUGCAGAAUGGAGAAGAGGAUUAUACGAAUUAAUUACGAAUGGAAUCCGUGGGAACAUAAAAAAGGACAGUGUUGUUCAGACAUUAGGUGAACUGAUGAAUAUUGAUGGAGCAAUACCAUCAGCAGUAGUGGACAUAUUUACACUGAUAGACGCGGAAGCACUUAACGAUGAAAGGAAUAACUUCUAUUACAUUGUAAAAGAAUCAGAAAAGUUUCUUACAGAUAGGAUAUUAAAAGAACGAUUAGAAAUUGAAACAUUACAAGAUGUAGGAACGCUAAAGAAUAAGAAUUUUCAAACCAAAUUCAUCAAAGUGAAGACAAAAUUGUACUAUAAACAAAGGAAGUUUAAUUUAUUUAGAGAAGAAAGCGAAGGAUAUUCUAAGCUUAUAGUGGAAUUGAAUCAGGAACGUCCAGAAAAUGAAGUAGCAUCAAUUUUAGAAAUUGUUAAAUCUCUUAUUGGGUAUUUUAAUCUUGACCCCAACAGAGUACUUGAUAUUUUACUAGAAACUUUUGAAAAUCGACCUCAGGAUGAUGCAUUUUUUAUUCCUUUAAUUCGUUCUUACAUGAGUGAUCAGCAGGUACUCUGUGAAGUUUUAGGAUUUAAAUAUUGUUCAAUGGUAAACUCUACCCCGUUUUCGUUGCAAAAAGUCACUGCGCUUAUGUUGCAACACGGUGUUAUUAAAUUGGAUGACAUAUUGCCCUGGUUAAUUCCGGAUGAUAGCACUAUCAUCAAAGAACACGAACAGGCAAUGAAACAAGCGAAAGAAUAUGUUCGUAAAUUAAGCGUAAUUUCUACUAAAGAUAAAGAAGAAGUGCAGGAAGAAAAGGAAAAUCCCCAGGACAAAUAUGCAAGUAAUCAGAAAUUCGGAUUAUGCGAAGCAUUGCUGGAAAUAGGAGCUUGGGACGUAGCACAAAACUUAUUCAGCCGAUUACCGGAGCACAGUUUAACCGAUCAACGUCCUAUUGCAUUGGCGUUGUGUAAAAUGAUUCAAUCUUUAAUAGAGCUGGUUUAUCGCAAACAUUGUAUCAUAUCACAAAAAUUACAAGGCAGAAGAGUUCCUCCUCUAAAGAGUUCUCUUGCACCAAAGCCAAUAGAAAAUCUCGAAAACAUACACGAUAAACUCUUACCGAUGCUUAUAGUUCUGGGCCCGAAUUUACACCAUGAUCCUGUUUUAAUGUACAAAAUAAUGAGGUUAUGUCACGCUGUUAUAAAGCAGUGCCCGUUAGAUUCGAAUAAGCAACCAGUGGAUAAGAAUAACAAUUUAUAUUAUGAUGUAUUGACUAUUCUCGAUGUAGCAUUAUUACCUUCAUUAUCUUUUAUGGAUUGUAAUUGUUGUGUCGCGGAGGAAUUGUGGAACAUUUUAAAAUACUACCCAUAUCAGAAUCGGUAUUGUUUGUACGCACGAUGGAAGAACGAUACCCCAUUGCAACACGCCGCUCUUUUGCGAAAGAGGGCUGACGCCCAGAAGAAAAUCAAAUCGAUCAUGAAAAGAGUGAGCAAGGAAACUAUUAAACCUGUAGGAAGAUCAAUAGGGAAAUUGACCCAUUCCUCGCCUGGUGUAUUGUUUGAUUAUGUUUUAAUACAAAUUCAAUUGUACGAUAAUCUUAUAGGACCUGUUGUAGAUUCUUUAAAAUAUCUAACAAACAUUUCAUACGACGUACUCGGUUACUGUCUCGUGGAAGCUUUAGCCGGUGCUGAUAGAGAUAGAUUUAAACACGACGGCACCAGUAUAUCUCUGUGGUUACAGUCUCUUGCUUCAUUUUGUGGAGCUAUAUUUAAGAAAUAUAAUAUCGAACUUACUGGUUUGUUGCAGUAUGUAGCUAAUCAACUUAAAGCACAAAAAAGCUUAGAUUUAUUAAUACUGAAAGAAAUAGUACAAAAAAUGGCAGGUAUCGAAGCUGCUGAAGAAAUGACCUCAGAUCAAUUGAACGCCAUGGCAGGGGGAGACUUAUUGAAAAAUGAGGCUGGUUACUUUAGUCAAGUCCGUAAUACAAAAAAAUCCUCCCAACGAUUGAAAGAAGCCCUCGCUGAGCAUGAUUUAGCCGUGGCUCUGUGUCUUUUAAUGGCACAACAAAAGCAUUGUGUUGUGUAUAGAGAAACAGAUAAGUCGCACCUUAAACUUGUUGGAAAACUGUACGAUCAAUGCCAAGAUACAUUAGUACAGUUUGGAACAUUUUUGGGUUCUACAAUGACCGUAGACGAAUACGUGGACAGACUUCCUUCUAUACAUUCGAUGCUCCAAGACAAUCACAUACAUUCUGAUGUUGCAUUUUUCCUUGCAAGACCAAUGUUUGCACAUGCUAUUAAUAUUAAAUAUGAUGCUCUACGUAAAGCUGAUCCAAAUUACAAAAAAAUGUCUACUGCUAUGAAACAAGCAAAAUAUGCAGAAGCAGCACAAGCCGUAAUGGCACCUGUUGCUCAGUCAGUCAGACCAUUGCAUCCUUUAAAAGUAUGGGAAGAUAUCUCUCCGCAGUUCCUUGUAACAUUUUGGUCACUGUCAAUGUACGAUCUGUAUGUUCCCGUUGAAAGUUAUCAGAGGGAAAUAAAUAAAUUGAAACAAUUCGCUGCGCAAAGUGCUGAUUCCAAAGAUAUGACUGUUAGUAAGGGAAAGAAGGAGCAAGAAAGAUACACAACCUUGAUUGAGAAACUACAGGAUGAAAGGAGGAAGCAAGAGGAACACGUUGAAAAAGUGUUUGCAUAUUUAAGGCAAGAAAAAGAUACAUGGUUUUUAUCUCGGAGUGCAAAAUCCGCAAAGAAUGAAACAAUAACACAAUUCCUACAAUUGUGCCUGUUUCCCCGGUGUACAUUUACCACCGUGGAUGCUAUGUAUUGCGCCAAAUUUGUUCACACAAUACAUUCUUUAAAAACAGCAAACUUCUCAACCCUUCUUUGCUAUGACAGACUGUUCUGUGAUAUAACAUAUUCAGUUACCUCGUGUACCGAGAACGAGGCGAAUCGUUACGGUAGAUUUCUGUGCGCCAUGCUAGAAACAGUAAUGAGGUGGCACUCUGAAAAAGCCAUAUUCGAUAAGGAAUGUAGUAAUUAUCCGGGAUUCGUAACGAAGUUUCGCGUUAGUAAUCAAUUUUCCGAGGCGAACGACAUGGUAGGAUUUGAAAAUUAUCGACACGUGUGCCAUAAGUGGCAUUAUAAAAUCACAAAGGCUAUUGUGGUUUGUUUGGAUUCCAAGGAUUAUGUACAAAUAAGAAAUUCUUUAAUAAUAUUAAUCAAAAUAUUGCCACAUUUCCCUGUGCUGGCAAAGUUGUCUCAAAUUCUUGAAAGAAAAGUAGAAAAGGUUAGAGAAGAGGAACGUGGUCAACGUCAGGAUUUGCAUGUUCUUGCUACGUCGUACAGCGGUCAGCUAAAAGCUAAAACUCCAAACAUGAUUCGCGAAGCAGAUUUCCAUCAUGUGGGGGACAAGACUGGAAAAACACAAGAUGCCCCAAAUAACGAAGCGUCAGAGAAAGUUGGUGAUGGUAUAUCGAAUAAAGAAAUCACUAAUGGUGAUACAAGAAUAGAAAAAGAAAAUAAAGAUCAACGAGAAAAACGAACUGCAUCAAAUCAAUUGCAUCAUGAAAGUUCGGAAAAAAUUAGGAAAAAAGAAGAAAAUAAAGAAAGUUCAGAGAGUAAGGAUAAGCAUAUAAAAAAGGAGGAGGUUAAGGAAGAUGACUCAAUGGAUAAAAAAGAUAGAAAAUAUUACAAAGAAGAACAUUAUUAUGCAACUGGAGUAGAUAAUUUAGACCGAGAUCUUUCUAGUGUAUCAAAUAGUAGUGCUAGCUCUGGGCCAACACAAGAUGGAUCAGACAGAGAUGCCAAAAGAAGAAAAGUUGAAAGUGUACAAAAGGAAGGAAGACGGGCAGAUGGUAAUCUCGAUAAAAAGGAACGUUCAAGUAAAAGUAAAAUAAGGGAUGAACAAAAGGAACUCCGUAGAGAAAAGAAAUUAGGACGAAAAAGGGAUAGAGCAGAUGAAUCCGCAGUUGCAACCGAACAAAAGAGAAGGAAAGAUGAUGAAAGAGCAAAGGGAACACAUCAAAAUGGUGAUAUCCCUGAACACAGAGAAAAACAUCAUUAUAACAAGUUGAUAAAGACGUCCGCUUCGAGUACAUUGAAAAGACGAAAUGGGAGACAAUAGCAAAGACCAGAAAAACUAGGAAAAGUCACCCUACACAAAGGAACGUACUCAUGAACGGGAAGGUCGUGAAAGCCGAGAUAAACAUAGAAGGAGUUCGGAUCCCAAACGAAGAUGAUGUACAACAAUGGACAAAAUUUGACUUAACAUUUUAUAUACUACGUUUGGUGUUGCAUGUAAUUAAGGUAGAAUUCGAAUAAUAAUAAUAAAGAAAAAAAAAUUAGCGAUUAAUUUGUAUAUUAUAUUAACGUCCAAUUUUAUAAAAUAAAGUA